GAUGAACGCUGGCGGCGUGCCUAAUACAUGCAAGUCGAGCGAACAGACGAGGAGCUUGCUCCUCUGACGUUAGCGGCGGACGGGUGAGUAACACGUGGAUAACCUACCUAUAAGACUGGGAUAACUUCGGGAAACCGGAGCUAAUACCGGAUAAUAUAUUGAACCGCAUGGUUCAAUAGUGAAAGACGGUUUUGCUGUCACUUAUAGAUGGAUCCGCGCCGCAUUAGCUAGUUGGUAAGGUAACGGCUUACCAAGGCAACGAUGCGUAGCCGACCUGAGAGGGUGGUCGGCCACACUGGAACUGAGACCCGGUCCAGACUCCUACGGGAGGCAGCAGUAGGGAAUCUUCCGCAAUGGGCGAAAGCCUGACGGGGCAACGCCGCGUGAGUGAUGAAGGUCUUCGGAUCUUAAAACUCUGUUAUUAGGGAAAAACAAAUGUGUAAGUAACUAUGCACGUCUUGACGGUACCUAAUCAGAAAGCCACGGCUAACUACGUG
rnacentral:rRNA from 1 species